AUGCGUUUUGUGCGGCGCAUCCAGAAGUCUGAGGUGAAGGAGGCUUUAAAAAGGAUGAAAGGAGGUAAGGCGAUGGGCCCUGGUUGUAUCCCCAUUGAGGUGUGGAAAGGUCUCGGGGACAUAGCGAUAGUAUGGCUAACCAAGCUUUUCAACCUCAUUUUUCGGGCAAACAAGAUGCCAGAAGAAUGGAGACGUAGUAUAUUAGUACCAAUCUUCAAGAACAAGGGAGAUGUUCAGAAUUGUACUAAUUACCGUGGAAUUAAGCUAAUGAGCCAUACAAUGAAGCUAUGGGAGAGAGUCAUUGAGCACCGCUUAAGAAGAAUGACAAGCGUGACCAAAAAUCAGUUUGGUUUCAUGCCUGGGAGGUCGACCAUGGAAGCCAUUUUCUUGGUACGACAACUUAUGGAGAGAUAUAGGGAGCAUAAGAAGGACUUGCAUAUGGUGUUCAUUGACUUGGAGAAGGCCUAUGAUAAGAUACCGCGGAAUGUCAUGUGGUGGGCCUUGGAGAAACACAAAGUCCCAGCAAAGUACAUUACCCUCAUCAAGGACAUGUACAAUAAUGUUGUGACAAGUGUUCGAACAAGUGAUGUCGACACCGAUGACUUCCCGAUUAAGAUAGGACUGCAUUAG
rnacentral:rRNA from 1 species